AUGAACAGCCAAGUUGGUCCCAACCACAAGAACUUGAAUGUGGUCUAUCAGGAUCUCACCACGAUUCUUGGUCUUGGCAGGUUUGACUCUGGGAACCUUACUGCAGGUUUGCCUCUGAAAUGUGAUAUGGAUCCGGCAAAUUUGGUGCGCACGAGGACCAUACGCUCUGAGAAUGGACUCAAACCAGCUGAGUAUUCAAGUGACAGUCUACAAGAUAUGUCUUCUCCCUGCGAAAGCCCACAUGCUGGAAAAGUCAAGUUCAUGUGUAGCUUUGGUGGGAAAAUCCUCCCUAGGCCUAGUGACGGGGUGCUCAGAUAUGUAGGUGGGGAAACACGUCUCAUAUCGAUACCCAGAAACUUCUCAUGGAAGGAGCUUGUGCAUAAAACCCUCUCGCUGUACAACCAGCCUCAUACCAUCAAGUAUCAGCUUCCUGAUGAGGACCUUGAUGCUCUGAUUUCUCUUUCAUGUGAAGAGGAUCUUCAGAAUAUGAUGGAAGAAUACUACAGUCUUGAAAAGGCCAAUGGCUCACCGAGACUUCGGAUGUUUCUUGUCUCCCCAAAUGAUUGUGAGGAGACAUCGUUAAGUGCAAGAAGUUUAGAAAGUGAGCCAGAAUAUCAUUUUGUUGUUGCUGUGAACAAUCUCUCACAACUGAAGCAGAGCACCAGCGGCAACAAUUUGGUGAGCCAGUUGAGCCAACAGUUGGAUAGUUCCCUACUCCCCUGCAGAGACUCAACUGCAUGUCAAACAGAUAUAGAAAGUGGAGGUAAAGCUUUGGCUGGAACAGCCUUAAACGAGUCUUCCUCUCAGUUUUUUCUUGCUCCAUACUCACAACAAAUGGUGGCUGAGUCAGCAGCAACUUCCUCCCCGGGCUUAAAUCGACAGAGGAUGUCUUUGAAUCAGUCUAGGCUGCGGAUGUCUGCAGACAAACUAACAACGCAUCAAGAACAUGAACACAAAUAUGAAGUUAUCAAUGGAUCACAUUUGAAAACCAUGCUUCCAGACCAUCAAGAUAAGACUCAAAGCGAUGCAGACACAGGUGUUGGAACUGGAUCAACCAUGCACAAUAUUCAAAUUCAAAGGCAGGCAAAAGAUUUGGGUAUACCUCGAAACGAGAGUUACGUGAGUUCACAUACAAGCUAUGAUAAGUCUACUCCGAUGGAAAUGCCCUUCUAUUCUGAAAAGGUGUGCGUGCAUCCGGAGGCUGCUAGUUGGCUAUCUGGUAUGCAUGAAUACACUGGUCAAAUUCAUGGCAUGCCGCAUGCCUUCUCUGAUCCUUUACUAAAUGAUCGCACUGAACAACCUGCAUCCAAUUUGUCUUUAACUUUUGAUUCCUACAUACCCCCUUCAUUUUCCCAGACAAUGUGUCAAGCUAAUGCACUGGAGAGAACAAUAAGCGGGACUAGGCCAGAUCUUCUAUGUGCUAAGCCACCUCAGAUUGCUCGUGUGGAUGAACCUAAUUACCUUGUUUCUAGUCAUACUGACCAGCGGUAUGAUCAAGGAGUUCCUGGUGGAGCCAGUUUUGAGGCAGCUGUAUAUUACCAACAAGACAGUUUGUCUAGUAAUAUGGUGCAAACAGGUCAUGAUAGUGGUCCUGUUGUUCAACAGAGGAAGAUUUAUCAUCCGGAGAACAGUGCCGGUCCAAGUGUUGCUCCCCAGUGCACUUUUGUUGACACGAGGUUCACUUUGCACCAGACACCGUGUGCAAGGUUGUCCUCAGGUGAGUUGGAUGCUCUAGAAAGCUCAGGUUUGACGUCAAUGCAUGCUACUGAUAAUUCUCAUUCACGCUUUCUUCAUGGAUUCCCUAAUGGAUCUCAAACAGCGAAUUCAGAUCGUGGAUCUCAUGUAGAGAAAAUGAACUCAGGGCGUGUCUCUACAGAUUAUGGAACAGCUGGCUGUGUGCAUGGUAAUGAUAAAGUUGCUCCUGGACCCCAUAUACUGUUGCCUAUUGACCCUUUUGAAGCUUUUGCGCCACAAAGAUCAGUAGCAAAUGGAGCAUCCCCUGUGUAUCAAAAUGAAAAUUACGACCAGUUUUUGGUGCACAGCUCUGGUUUGGCUACCUCUUCGCCUAUUGGACUAAGUAAUGCUGAUCUGACCGGAAACAUGUUUAACAAUGGCACCUUCAAGGAUGGUCUUUCACAGAGAGAUGUUCCUGUUUUUAAUCAGCACAAUAUCAUCUGCAGUGAUGUAGGAGUAAUUGGAUUUGAUCGUGCAACCAUCAAUAAUGAGGACAUGAAUCUGAGGGGCAGAAUGCAUAAUGAUUUUCAAAUGGAGGCACAUGUUAUAGUUGAGGAUGUGACUGAUAAUAUGCCUUCAAGCAUUCCGUCAUCCAGACCAAUUCCUCAGGUUGAAAUAGCAGCUGAAGAACAGCACCAUGCAAUUAAUUCAUCGGAGAAGGAUGAUGAUGCUAAGAGCGAUGGGCCAGAGUUAGCUAAUGAGGACCAUGGUAAUAAAGCAGCUGCAGAUGGCACCAUUAGUGAUGCUGAGAUUGCCGAACUUGAAGCCAGCAUGUAUGGCUUGCAGAUCAUAAGAAAUGCUGACCUCGAGGAGCUACGUGAACUGGGAUCUGGCACGUUUGGAACUGUUUACCAUGGAAAAUGGCGAGGAAGUGAUGUUGCUAUCAAACGUAUCAAGAAAAGCUGUUUCGCUGGGAGAUCAUCUGAACAAGAGAAACUUACCAAAGACUUUUGGAGGGAGGCGCAAAUUCUUUCAAAGCUGCAUCAUCCAAAUGUUGUUGCUUUCUAUGGUGUGGUUCCUGAUGGAACUGGAGGAACAUUAGCAACUGUGGCAGAAUUUAUGGUGAAUGGUUCACUAAGGAAUGUUCUUCUAAGGAAGGAUAGCAGAUCGCUUGAUCUUCGGAAAAAGCUCAUCAUUGCAAUGGAUGCUGCAUUUGGGAUGGAAUAUCUGCACUCGAAAAGCAUAGUCCAUUUUGAUUUGAAAUGCGACAAUUUACUUGUUAAUUUGAGAGAUCCUCAGAGGCCAAUCUGCAAGGUUGGAGACUUUGGAUUAUCGAGAAUUAAGCGCAACACUUUGGUUUCUGGUGGUGUACGGGGCACCCUUCCGUGGAUGGCACCGGAGCUGUUGAACGGUAGCAGCAGCAAAGUGUCUGAGAAGGUGGACGUGUUCUCUUUCGGGAUAGCAUUAUGGGAAAUCUUGACCGGUGAGGAACCAUACGCAAAUAUGCAUUGCGGCGCUAUCAUAGGGGGUAUCGUCAACAACUCUCUCCGGCCUCCAGUACCUGAAACCUGUGACCCCGAAUGGCGAAUACUGAUGGAGCAAUGUUGGUCGGCCAAUCCCGAUAUCCGCCCCUCAUUCACUGAGGUCACGGAUAGGUUACGAGCCAUGUCAGCGAUGCUUCAGUCAAGGGCACAGGCCCCAGGAAGCUGA
rnacentral:rRNA from 1 species